ACGAAGGUGGCAAGCGUUGUUCGGAUUCACUGGGCGUAAAGCGUGCGUAGACGGUAGCGUAAGUCGGGUGUGAAAGCCCCGGGCUCAACCUGGGAAUUGCAUUCGAGACUGCUCUGCUAGGGUGCGGAAGAGGGAAGCGGAAUUUCCGGUGUAGCGGUGAAAUGCGUAGAUAUCGGAAGGAACACCAGUGGCGAAAGCGGCUUCCUGGUCCAGCACCGACGUUCAGGCGCGAAAGCGUGGGGAGCAAACAGGA
rnacentral:rRNA from 1 species